GGAGUGGAUGAGGCCGGCGGCGAAACUCUCCUGGGGUUGUUCAUUUACGAUGUGGACGGAGAGAUCGCCCAGACCUUCCACCUGCAGGAGGAGCCCCGCAAAGCCUUCGGCCGUGUCAAACUGGAGGUGUGGAGCAACUGGGGAAACGCAGAACACACCUGCGUGUACCGAGUGGAAAUUCACAGCAACUCGUAAAAGACAGCAGAGAUUUGUUAGAAGGAAUACUUAAAAUAAAAUCUUUAUGACUUUC